rnacentral:tRNA from 2 species
GCAGCCGUGGCCGAGUGGUUAAGGCGAUCGACUAGAAAUCCAUUGGGGUCUCACACAGGUUCAAAUCCUGUCGACUGCG